GACGAACGCUGGCGGCGUGCCUAAUACAUGCAAGUAGAACGCACAGUUUAUACCGUAGCUUGCUACACCAUAGACUGUGAGUUGCGAACGGGUGAGUAACGCGUAGGUAACCUGCCUGGUAGCGGGGGAUAACUAUUGGAAACGAUAGCUAAUACCGCAUAAUAUUGAUUAUUGCAUGAUAAUUGAUUGAAAGAUGCUAUUGCAUCACUACCAGAUGGACCUGCGUUGUAUUAGCUAGUAGGGGAGGUAACGGCUCACCUAGGCGACGAUACAUAGCCGACCUGAGAGGGGGAGCGGCCACACUGGGACGGAGACACGGCCCAGACGCCUACGGGAGGGAGCAGUAGGGAAUCUUCGGCAAUGGACGAAAGUCUGACCGAGAAACGCCGCGUGAGUGAAGAAGGGUUUCGGGUCGUAAAGCUCUGUUGUAAGAGAAGAACGGGUGUGAGAGUGGAAAGUUCACACUGUGACGGUAUCUUACCAGAAAGGGACGGCUAACUACGUG
rnacentral:rRNA from 1 species